rnacentral:rRNA from 1 species
AACAAACGCUGGCGGCGUGCCUAACACAUGCAAGUCGUACGAGAAAGGGUCCUUCGGGGCCUGAGUAAAGUGGCGCACGGGUGAGUAACGCGUGGAUAAUCUGCCCUUCAGUUGGGAAUAACUCAUCGAAAGGUGGGCUAAUACCGAAUAAUGCUGUGAGACCUCGGUUGAUCAGCCAAAGAGAGCCUCUGCUUGCAAGCCCUCGCUGAAGGAUGAGUCCGCGUACCAUUAGCUAGUUGGUAGGGUAAUGGCCUACCAAAGCGACGAUGGUUAGCUGGUCUGGGAGGAUGAUCAGCCACACUGGAACUGAGACACUGUCCAGACUCCUACGGGAGGUAGCAGUGAGGAAUCUUGCGCAAUGGGGGCAACCCUGACGCAGCAACGCCGCGUGAGUGAGGAAGGUCUUCGGAUCGUAAAGCUCUGUCGGAUGGAAAGAACCGCAUAGGGGUAAACAGCCCCUGUGUCUGACGGUACCAUCAAAGGAAGCACCGGCUAACUCCGUGCCAGCCGCCGCGGUAAAAC